rnacentral:lncRNA from 1 species
GAAUCAAGUUUGCGGUUGGUAAGGUUUAGGGAGACCAUGCCCUGGCCUGACAGUGCUAUUCCAUCACACUCCGUGGUGCAGGGCCUUUUGAAGUAUAUCCUAUCGAUGGAUUGGACAUCCGUGAUGAGCUGAUCGAAGAACAUGAGAAAUCUGUAGAUGACCUUGAGACAAUCCAUUAAAUGAUCGAAAUAAGGAAUACACA